rnacentral:lncRNA from 1 species
UGGAUGAAGAAUUGAAAUCCUAACUUUGACUCUGUAGAAGAGGUAUGAUUUCCAGGGGCCAGGGGGUCUGGUUUUAUAGUCCCUUCAAGUGAAUAUGGGCCGUUGGAUCAAACCGACAUUAAUCGCACGGUUUUCCUUGAUCCUUUAGGUCGGUGGAGCGUUGUCUCGAAAGAGAGUCCUGAUUGGGCACUGUAGCUAGGCGGGCGCCCAGGAGAGUAGGGCGGGCGCCCUGCCUCCGAGCCCGAUUGCCUUCCCGUUCGUUCCCGUGGCUUCUGGAGUCUUCUAGAUGGUAGAAAAUUGCACAGUACGUUAAUAUCUCUAUGUAAACCCGACGUGUGGGCCUUUCUUUCAUAUUUCCUGAUAACCCCCUACAGAAAUAGACAAACACCAAAACUCAUGGAAUUCUGUCAGAUAAAACCCUAAGUCUAGGUGUUAGUUGCAUUUGGAUCCUUUUCCAUGAUUAAUUGAUGAUUAAAUAUGAGCAUUAAGGACCGUCAACAAGCUCCCCCAAGCUUAACCUUUGCUCGUCCCUGAGCAAAGGUAAACUCAAAAGUUUCUGCAGUGGUUUCAUGCCUUAAAGAUACACAUGCUUUCAAACAAGAUGUCAUCUCUGGGUUAGGGUAAACUUUCAAGACUGAAAACUUACUUGUUUUACCUUUUACCAUGGGACUUAUAACCGUCACUUCUGUCUUGAGCAGUUAAAAGAUAGAACAGUCUAGUCAAGCACCAUGUCUCUUAUUCGUGAUCAGCUAUAGCUCUAGAGUUUUUGUAGAUUUUCAAAUAAAACUCAGAGAUUCCUUGUAUGACUCUUUCUAGUCUCUCUUUCGUGGUAUUUCUGAAUCCUUACCAAGGCAGUAAUGGUGUAUGCCUUCUCUCAAAGUAUGUGGUAUUUUUGGUAUGAGGCACAGUGGCAUUGUCUUCUCUCUCACCCUACUCUAAUAAGGCUUUUGAUAUCUGGAGCUCAUAGGUGGGAGACAGCUAAUACAUACUUACAAGACAUUUAUUGCAUAGUCAAACCAUGGAUCUAGAAGAACAAGUUAAUAAGUCAAAUCAAGAUGUGCAUGUGUGGCGAAUGAAUGGUGAUAAUGGUGAAAGUAAUGGUGAAAGUCUAAUUCUACUUUUGCUCUUUUGAGGGGGUACAUACCUUUCUUGCUCUUUUGAAAUUUUUGGAGAGAAUGAGAUGCUCUAUAUUUUCUUUUUCUUUUCUCUCAGGUGGGUAUCUUGUACCCCUAAUUCUACUGUGGGACACUUGUCUAUUUUUACCUCUCGUCUCACUUUUUCUUUCUUUCGAGGUUCCGGGCACUUGCCCCUUUUUAUUUCCUCAUAUACAUUUUUUCUUUUCUUUUCUUUUCUUUUUUUUAGAGCACUCAUCUCAUGAGAUAAUAUAGCAAGUGGUAGAAACAAAGAUAACUUGAGCAUUUAUUUCAUAGGGAAAAAUAGAAAUGUUUUUGGCUAUUCUCUCCCGGAUUAGGAGUAGAAUAUUUUUAGGUGAUUCUGGAGAUGGAAAUGGGUGGAUAUAUGUGGAUGCGUACUUCCGGAGUAGAAGCAGCCUGUGUGAGUGAACGUGCAAGUGAAUCUUGAUUUAACCACAUGACAAGCUCCUAAGGGUCUACACAGCUUGACCACACUCAAUGCUCAUAAGCAGUAAAAAGUAAAUGUGUGGCUCAAAGUCUAGCAAGCAUGUAUAUAUGGCUGUGGUAGGAAUUUAAACUCUCAUCAUACAGGAACUCAUCCUAUGAUAUUUUAAAGAUUUUCAAAGAUAAAAUUCUCCAGAAUUCUAGCAUCUCUAGGAAUAGAUAAACAACAGCUCAACCUUCCCAUGUCAUAUCUGUUAACGACUUAGGCUUUAGAUUAAGUACUCUCCCCAUAGUUCAGGUUUUGAGCAAAUCUUAAUUAAUACCAGUCAUGCCUAAACUUGAGAGAGAUUUCAAUUUUAAGAACUAGUCAUUGGCAGAGCAACUAUUCAUCAUUUCCAUGUGAGAGCUUAUCAUUAGGGUUCAUAGCAAACUUUAUUUAUUUAUUUAUUUAGCAAACUAAGCAAAGAUAUAUAUAAGCACAAAAUCUUUAUUUGGGUUUUUAUGAUUAUGUAUCUUUUUAUUAUUUGAGUAAAGUAUAAACAUGAGUAGAACACUUAGCUGGAUAAAUGGGGGUGCUCUCCCCCAAGCUGGAUUUUGACGUAAUUUCUCCUGAUGUAGCUAGCAGGUGGCGGAGGUGUAUUUGAAUGUCAGCAGCACCCUGACACCGAUUAGGAUAUCCUCCGUCUGCUAGUCUUCUUUGAUCCUUGAAUUCUAUGGAGCUCAAAUAGACAACAAAGCUCUUGGCAAGGCGUUCGGUGUUUUUAAGUCCUCCAAACGGGACUCUUGUAUUCUCAAUCAUCCUGGGAUUCGCUGGAUGGCAUAGUCGGUGGUUCUGGCGGCGCCUGCUCUUCAUGUAUAACUAUCUUCUCUCUACACUCCUGACUUGGUGCUACGGUCUUCUCAGGACAAUUUUGUUCAAGUUGUAUGUCUUCAGACUGUACUACUUCCCCUUCAUAGUCUGCCCAUCCGUCCAUGAUGAUUUGCCUCCUCUGGUUGCGGUUGCGUUGUCUUCUUCUUGUCCUGACCUGCUUAGAGUCGUCACUAUAUAGUUAGGGUCAGUAAAAUAGUGGCGUACCUUCUCAGAGGGGAAGUGCAUGUGGACUUCUCUGGUUCCAAUGUAGAUGAUUGCUUUAACGGUGCUGAGGAACGGUCUCCCAAUGAUGAUGAGUGGAUCGUACUCGUCUUCUCCCAUGAUAAUAACCUUCAACCUUUCGGAAUGUCUGAUCUGCCAUCUGGAGCUGAAUGUAUGUUGGUUUUAGGGGCAUGGUUCCGAACAGGAGCUGAUAGAUGACUGCGGCCAUUAUGUUGAUGACAGAUCCGAUGUCGUAGAGUGUCUUCUGAAAAGGAUAUCCGUUGAUUGUGCACUCGAUGCUUGGAACACCAGGGUCGUCCUUCUUGGUCAGGAACGGUGACUUAAAUCGACGAUCUUGACCUCCUUGAACUGCAGUGAUCAUCUUAGCUGACUCGGUCCACACUUGCUUGUUCCUGUUCCUCCUGUUGGUCCUUUCCUUGGUUCUUGUCAGGAUUGCUCUGAGAUUUAUGUAGUCUUGUUCUUGAAGGAAAACGUCUCCUUUCUCCCUUUGAUGUAGAAACUGAUCUUGGCAGCACUAGCGUAGAUGACAGCUCCUGAGGUAUUCAGGAAUAGCCUGCCUAGG